GAGUGUUUCAAAACUGCUGUAUCAAAAGAAAGUUUCAAAUCUGUUAGUUGAGUACACACAUCACAAAGAAACUUCUGAGAAUGUUUCUGUCUAGUUUUUAUGUGAACAUAUUUCCUUUUUCACCACAGGCCUCAAAGAGCUCCAAUUUUCCACUUACAGAUCUACAAAAAGAGUGUUUCAAAACUGCUAUGAAAAGGAAUGUUCAACUCUGUGAGUUGAAUGCAAACAUCACAAAAAAGUUUCUGAGAAUCCUUCUGUCUAGUUUUUAUGUGAAGAUAUUCCCGUUUCCAACGAAAACCUCAAAUCUAUCCAAAUAUCCACUUGCAGAUUCAACAAAGAGUGUUUUUCAAAACUGCUCUAUCAAAAGAAAG
rnacentral:lncRNA from 10 species